GGAGGCGUUCCUCGUCUGGUGACGGGCGCGGUCUUCAAAACCGUAGUGGUCGAGCAUCUCGGCCAGGCGGGUUCGAUUCCCGUCCGCCUCCGC
rnacentral:tRNA from 1 species